rnacentral:lncRNA from 1 species
UAACAUAUUCUUAGAUGUGAUGUUUUUAUAUAUUCUGUGUUUUUCUUAAGAUAUUUUUGAAUUUUCAUCUUUUUCCCUCUUUUUUCUUUACUAUUUUCAUCUCUUUAGAAAGUAGGAGCUGAUCUAUUUCCCUCUUUUUCUUUACUAUUUUCAUCUCUUUAUUAAUAUAUUAUUUUACUAUUGAAAAAAGAAAAGAAAACUAAU